GAAGUUGAUGAGAAUGUGUUGAUGUGGAGUGUGAGAGAAAACAAAAAUGUGUAGUAAUUUUUUAUUUUUUAUAACUUUUCUUUAAUUUUUAUAUUUUUAUUAUAUUUGAAUAAUUUGAAUAAAUUUUUUAUAACAUUUAAGAUUUUUCUAUACCUUUUUUUUAUAUUUUUUUAUAUUUUUUCUAUAUUUUUCUAAAACUUUUUAUAAC
rnacentral:lncRNA from 1 species